CAAUUUUGGGGAUUCAACAGAUUUUAACGUGCUUAUUUUCUUAUUAAAAAAAAAACAAGGAGGCAACAGCAACAUUCUUGAUAUGUAGAGACGUAUGCUUAUUUCCUUCAACAUCUCGAGAAAAGGGCAGCAGCGUGGUAGGGGAAAACAUUUCUCCUUCAACGGAGUACUAAUGUGGAAAAUUAUAUAAGGGUUAUACCCACUUUUGUUUGCUCAAUGUGAUAGCUUCAAAGGGAAGUAAGGUGAAAGAAGAUUAGUUCUUGGUAUAUAAGCAACGUUGGUGCAAUCUCUUCUUAUGUAAAGUGUGAACACGGGUUGAAUUGGAGACUCGAAGAUGAUAAAGCAAGCUGAAAUUUUCAGUAGCUCUAGAGCCGUGCAUGAAGGUAGUAUAAGUAAGGAUUAAGUUUGGGAAGCCCGAGAUCUGAUUUGUGGUUAGCUCGGAGCAGACAAGGUGAGGAUACUCGAUUUGGUGAUCCUCCAGCUUGGACUUCUACUCAGCUAUCUUGGAGAGCUCCAUUGUUCCGGAGCCUAGACUUUUGGUACAGAUCUUUUGAUGUAUAUAUAUAUAUAUAUAUGUUUAUCUGGGGGUACGGCGGGGCCCUGUCCCGUCAUAUUUCACUAUCGAUACUCUUAGAGGUCUGUAGACAUAUGUGUGGGUUGUGUAUAAGUUUUGUUCUGCUGUGUCUAUACGAUGUGCUAUGGAUAUGCUCGCCUGUAGUGGCAGCCUUGUCGGCUUGCGUAUGGUAUUGAUAUGUAGUGGCAGCCUUGUCGGCUUGCGUAUCAUAUUGACAUGUAGUGGCAGCCUUUUCGGCUUGCGUAUCAUAUUAUGUUUUGAUUAGUUGUGACUCCUCAGGAGACAGGUUAUCUGGACAUAUAUAUAUGAUGACGUUA